rnacentral:rRNA from 1 species
UACGUAGGCAGCAAGCGUUGUUCGGAGUUACUGGGCGUAAAGGGUGCGUAGGCGGCUUCUUAAGUCUGGUGUGAAAUCUCCCGGCUCAACUGGGGGGGUGCGCCGGAUACUGAGGGGCUAGAGUGUGGGAGAGGAAAGUGGAAUUCCUGGUGUAGCGGUGAAAUGCGUAGAUAUCAGGAGGAACACCGGUGGUGUAAACGGCUUUCUGGACCAUAACUGACGCUGAGGCACGAAAGCGUGGGUAGCAAACAGG